rnacentral:rRNA from 1 species
AGUGAACGCUGGCGGCAGGCCUAACACAUGCAAGUCGAGCGGCAGCGCGGGGGCAACCCUGGCGGCGAGCGGCGGACGGGUGAGGAAUUCGUCGGAAUCUGCCUUUUUGUGGGGGAUAACGUAGGGAAACUUACGCUAAUACCGCAUACGUCCUACGGGAGAAAGUGGGGGACCGCAAGGCCUCACGCAGAAAGAUGAGCCGACGACCGAUUAGCUAGUUGGUGGGGUAAAGGCCCACCAAGGCGACGAUCGGUAGCUGGUCUGAGAGGAUGAUCAGCCACACUGGAACUGAGACACGGCCCAGACUCCUACGGGAGGCAGCAGUGGGGAAUAUUGGACAAUGGGCGCAAGCCUGAUCCAGCCAUGCCGCGUGUGUGAAGAAGGCCUUCGGGUUGUAAAGCACUUUUGUUCGGAAAGAAAUCCCUGGAGCUAAUACCUUCGGGGGAUGACGGUACCGGAAGAAUAAGCACCGGCUAACUUCGUG